GUGGGGAAUAUUGGGCAAUGGGGGAAACCCUGACCCAGCGACGCCGCGUGAGGGAAGAAGGCCUUAGGGUCGUAAACCUCUGUUGUGUGGGAAGAAGAGCGUGACGGUACCACACGAGGAAGUCCCGGCUAACUACGUGCCAGCAGCCGCGGUAAUACGUAGGGGACGAGCGUUGUCCGGAUUUACUGGGCGUAAAGGGCGCGUAGGCGGUCAUUUAAGUCAGCUGUGAAAUGGUUUGGCUUAACCGGAUCAUGCGGUUGAAACUGGAUGACUGGAGUGCUGGAGAGGCAAGUGGAAUUCCCAGUGUAGCGGUGAAAUGCGUAGAUAUUAGGAAGAACACCAGUGGCGAAGGCGGCUUUCUGGACGAAAACUGACGCUGAGGCGCGAAAGCCAGGGGAGCAAACGGGAUUAGAUACCCGGGUAGUCC
rnacentral:rRNA from 1 species